CCUACGGGAGGCAGCAGUGGGGAAUUUUGGACAAUGGGCGAAAGCCUGAUCCAGCAAUGCCGCGUGAGUGAAGAAGGCCUUCGGGUUGUAAAGCUCUUUUGUCAGGGAAGAAACGGUGAGAGCUAAUAUCUCUUGCUAAUGACGGUACCUGAAGAAUAAGCACCGGCUAACUACGUGCCAGCAGCCGCGGUAAUACGUAGGGUGCAAGCGUUAAUCGGAAUUACUGGGCGUAAAGCGUGCGCAGGCGGUUUUGUAAGUCUGAUGUGAAAUCCCCGGGCUCAACCUGGGAAUUGCAUUGGAGACUGCAAGGCUAGAAUCUGGCAGAGGGGGGUAGAAUUCCACGUGUAGCAGUGAAAUGCGUAGAUAUGUGGAGGAACACCGAUGGCGAAGGCAGCCCCCUGGGUCAAGAUUGACGCUCAUGCACGAAAGCGUGGGGAGCAAACAGGAUUAGAUACCCUGGUAGUCCACGCCCUAAACGAUGUCUACUAGUUGUCGGGUCUUAAUUGACUUGGUAACGCAGCUAACGCGUGAAGUAGACCGCCUGGGGAGUACGGUUGCAAGAUUAAAACUCAAAGGAUUGACGGCUUGAGACGNGCGAGACGACGACGAGGAGGAGG
rnacentral:rRNA from 1 species